rnacentral:tRNA from 2 species
GCGAGAGUUGCCAAGCCAGGUCAAAGGCGAUAGGUUCAGGGCCUAUUCUCGUAGGAGUUCGCCGGUUCGAAUCCGGCCUCUCGCA